rnacentral:sRNA from 1 species
CUCCAGGUACAGACGCCGGACGCCGGCGCUGC